rnacentral:antisense_RNA from 1 species
GUCGGCCGACGGAAGUGACGAUGGGGGCGGUGGGCGGAUGCCUACCGAGAGACCAGGGGAGCUAAGUGAUUGAUGGAGCUUCCGGAAGUCUUGGCGGCUGUACCAGCGCUAAUGUUCCUCCUUUUCCUGAGGUAUUCUAAUCACAGAAUUACUGGAGCAUCAAGAAGUGCCUGCAUGCUUGGAAGGGCUUCCAGGCAGAUGAACACACCUCAGCACCGGGUGGCAUUUUCCCAGGGUGCAACCCGGAGCGGCUCUGGGUCACACUGACAAGUGCACCCCUCCUGAGCUGAAGUGUUCCUGUUCUCUCCGCAGCCUCUCCAACUCCCCAGGCUGGGUUGGGUGCUCCUCCCUCUCAUCCCACAGCGCUAUGUCUCAUGUCUUCUGGAAAACUUGCCAAUCCCUAGUGACAACAGGGUUAACAAUUUCCAGAGACAGCCCGUACAUAGAAGGAAUGUUUACUGAAAAAAAUGAAGAGGGGUCAGGGCAAGGCGAGGAGCGAGAAGCACCCCCAAGGAAACAGAGAAGACCAGUACAACUGUACCUCUUUGCCAGCUGCACCAUCCGUACCAGGUGGCACGUUCCAGAGCCAUAGCCUCUGUUCUAUUCAUCUCCAGUCUCCUGGGGUGGAAGUGUCCAGCGCAGAGACUGCCACACUGCAAGAUGAAGGGGCUGGACACACGGAAGAGAGAGGCGGAACCC